rnacentral:lncRNA from 1 species
UGAAAGUGCAUCUGCAACUUCCUCCUCCCUCUCCAGGCAGCAGAAGCUUUAGCGUGACUAGCUGAAAGGUCUCACUGGCACUGGAUCAUAGCUCAGAGUAAGACGGGAGAAUGUACUUCAUUGUUUUCCUCCCAAAAGGAAAGAUAAGAUUGCAAGGUCAGAGGAAAUCAGUAAAAUGACAGACAAUGUGUGGACUGCUGUGUCUUCAUUCAUUCUACCAGUCACGCUGAUAAUCAAGAGAGGUCGUCAGGAGAUUUCAAUCACACUCGGAAACUGGGAGAGGUCAUUUAGCUUUCAUGCUGCGAGAGGGAGAAAGAAGAGUGACAAGGCCCAGAGGGUUCAUCGAUUUUGGAAAGUUGUGAGUAUGGCCUGCUAUGGUGAAAGUGGAUAGAGGAGAAAAAGGACAGCUGAGAGUUAAGAAUUACUAGGAGAUGGCAAAGACAUUGGAAAGUUGUAUGCAUGUCCAGCCUUGCUUCUACCCAGUCCCAACAUCCAGCCUGAGCUGCAGCUGCAGAUAGAACUUGGGCAGAGGGGCUGGGGAUUUAGCUCAGUGGCAAAGCGCCUGCCUAGCAAGCGCAAGGUCGUGAGUUCGGUUCCCGGUACCAGAGAAAAACCAAAAAAAAAAAAAAAAAGAACUUGGGAAGAAAGGCAGGCACUGGGUGCUGGGAGCUUCAUGUUCUGUGGCUGGCUUGGUAGGAACUACGGAGUGGUCCCUUGAGCUGAACCACAGUGUGGAGUCAAGUACUAGAGAGCAGCAGGGUAAGGAACUGAAUGCAGAGGAUCCUGAGAAGCUCUAGUUCAGAGACCUGUAGGUCUUCAGGAAAAUGAUCAGUAUAAACCCUAUUUAUAGGGUUUUUCUGGUACCUAGAGAGCUGAAGUGCCUCCCUACCUCUGAAGGUGAGGAGAGCAAAAGGACACCAAGAAGCAGAAGACUUUUUUUGCUCCCCUAAAACAAAAGAGAAAGACUGAGGAGAUUAAGAGAGCCAAAUCCAUGGUGGAAG